rnacentral:misc_RNA from 1 species
UUUCCGUAGGUGAACCUGCGGAAGGAUCAUUGUCGAAACCUGCCCAGCAGAACGACCCGCGAACUUGUAUAAACAACCGGGGGCGGGGGGCGUUCUCGCCCCGUGCCCCCGAACAGCGGGGAGACACUCGUGCCUUCUUGCCGAACGACGAACCCCGGCGCGGUCUGCGCCAAGGAACUUCAACUAAAGAGUGCCUCCGGUCGCCUCGGAAACGGCGUGCGUGCCGGGGGCGAAUCUUGUGCAAAACCAUAACGACUCUCGGCAACGGAUAUCUCGGCUCUC